CUAGGUCCAAAACACCUCUCUUCCCAUGGCUCACGCAAAACAACCUCUUCUUUGCUCCGACAGUUGGUGCACAUACGGGGCAUGCAGACUGCAGAAACGUUCCUGUUGUGCUUCGUGUAAAAUAUCAUUGAAAUUGUCGGUGACAUGUGUUCGCGCGAGCGGCGCGACGUUAAUGUUGAGAAACGGGUACACCUAACAAACUCUGUUUCUGCCUCUGUGAUCUUGUUGUUAUGAUAACAGAUAUUGAGGAGUGGAACACAACCGCCAUAUUAAACAUCGGUGAAAUAUUGAUCUGUUUUGUCGUUGAGCUUCUGUUUUCAGAGUGCAGGCUGGCGCUCCUCAUGUUUGUUUUUCUUUGUAUGUCUUUUUUUUUUCUCUCUCUCUCUUUCUUGUGCGUGUCGAACUGUCGAUAUUAUUUUGUGUCACUAACACCUCAAUGAACAUGACUCGCGUUUACUGUUUUCAUUGAUCGCGUAACAUGACAAACAUAUAGCUUGAAGAGACUACUGUGUGCGCGAUCUAGGUAUAUGUUUAUACGUUGUACGAGGAUUAAUAAAUCUCGUCAAUGAAGUA